rnacentral:rRNA from 1 species
UACGUAGGGAGCGAGCGUUGUCCGGAAUUACUGGGUGUAAAGGGAGCGUAGGCGGGAUGGCAAGUCAGAUGUGAAAACUAUGGGCUCAACCCAUAGACUGCAUUUGAAACUGCUGUUCUUGAGUGAGGUAGAGGUAAGCGGAAUUCCUGGUGUAGCGGUGAAAUGCGUAGAGAUCAGGAGGAACAUCGGUGGCGAAGGCGGCUUACUGGGCCUUUACUGACGCUGAGGCUCGAAAGCGUGGGGAGCAAACAGG